rnacentral:rRNA from 1 species
UACAGAGGGUGCGAGCGUUGUCCGGAAUUAUUGGGCGUAAAGAGCUCGUAGGCGGUCUGUCGCGGUCUGACUGUGAAAAUCAGGGCUCAACCCUGGACCUGCGAGUGGGUACGGGCAGACUAGAGGUGCGGUAGGGGAGACUGGAAUUCCGUGGUGAUAGCGGUGAAAUGCGUAGAUAGUCCGGAGGAACGACCGGUGGCGAAGGGCGGUUCUCUGGGCAUUACCUGACGCUGAGGAGCGAAAGUGGUGGGGAGCGAACAGG